CUCCAGCCAGUGCUGCUUGUGCAUGCUACGAGUACGACGUCGACGGGGUCCCUCUGCCGUGGCCCUGGUCGCAAGUGGCCGUGGAACAGCAAAAGAAUGAAGUGGCAUUACAGAAAAGAGAGGGAGAAAAGCCUGAAAUAACUCGCAGCUCUACACUACAAUGAGAAUGCAGGACGAAGACAAUGCAGGACGGAGACAUGCUAGCCAGAACUAGAAAUGGAGACCUAAGAUUCUCAAUAGCACUUUAGAUACGCAAAGAAUGCAUGCACAAUGCACUUGUUCAUUGUCAGCAGGUUGACAAGACAUGAAAACAACUCCAUCCGCAGCUGAUGUGUAACCCCCGUGUCAUUG